ACGAACGCUGGCGGCAUGCCUAACACAUGCAAGUCGAACGAGACCUUCGGGUCUAGUGGCGCACGGGUGCGUAACGCGUGGGAACCUGCCCUUAGGUUCGGAAUAACCCCCCGAAAGGGGUGCUAAUACCGGAUAAUGUCUUCGGACCAAAGAUUUAUCGCCUUUGGAUGGGCCCGCGUUGGAUUAGCUAGUUGGUAGGGUAAAAGCCUACCAAGGCGACGAUCCAUAGCUGGUCUGAGAGGAUGAUCAGCCACACUGGGACUGAGACACGGCCCAGACUCCUACGGGAGGCAGCAGUGGGGAAUAUUGGACAAUGGGCGAAAGCCUGAUCCAGCAAUGCCGCGUGAGUGAUGAAGGCCUUAGGGUUGUAAAGCUCUUUUACCCGGGAUGAUAAUGACAGUACCGGGAGAAUAAGCGCCGGCUAACUCCGUG
rnacentral:rRNA from 1 species